rnacentral:rRNA from 1 species
UACGAAGGGGGCUAGCGUUGUUCGGAAUUACUGGGCGUAAAGCGCGCGCAGGCGGUCUUCCAAGUCAGUGGUGAAAGCCCGGAGCUCAACUCCGGAACUGCCAUUGAAACUGUAAGACUUGAGGAUGAGAGAGGUGAGUGGAAUUCCCAGUGUAGAGGUGAAAUUCGUAGAUAUUGGGAAGAACACCGGUGGCGAAGGCGGCGAUCUGGGUAGAUACUGACGCUGAGGUGCGAAAGCGUGGGGAGCAAACAGG